GCAGGGUCGGUGGCCCUUCUGUCCACAGCACUUGGUGCCAACUCUCAUCUUCAGUGGUUCAAAGCUUUGAAACCUCUAGAAAAAGAAGUCAGAGAUCCCCACUCGGUCAGGUGUACAUCCUGGACCAAUCAGCUUUUGCCCACAGGCCAGGGGCAGGAGCAGACACAAGGAUGCCAGGAAGGGGUAGGACAAGAAGUUCCUACAGAGAGAGGGUCAUUGUGAGCCAAGAAAGUCAAUGAUGAUAUCAGAAAAGGUGACAGAGAGGGACCAUGAAAUCUUCCUACAUGUGGGGAGUCAGCAAACACAGAAAUCUAACCUGACUGCUGGCGGGCAUUUGGGCCCCCGUGAGGUAGACCUGUCUGACCCCAUCCAGCCUCACCGGAAAUCUCACUGUCUCACCUGGGGGAGCUGGAGGGAGAGAUGCUGAACACAAAGCCUCGGAGACCUUCCCAAGCACAGCUAAGGCAGUUUUAGCUUCUACGCCUUACCAGAUGAGUCUCCUUCCCCCAAACCCCCAAAGUUAUGACUAAACUCGUGGGGAGAACGGCCUUGGGAUGACCCAGAGGUAUAUUCACCAACCCAUUGAGGGUGAAAUGGCCCCCAUGGCUUCAGGAGUAAUUUUCUCAUUGAGUGCACGUCCUUUGAGGAGGAAUGUGUUUGCUGGUAGUGCAAUCUGCUGAGAAUCAAGUGUCCUCAUAGGCCUCUGUAAGUAUUUCUCAAAUGCCAGAAGUAUGAGGGAAGAGGAGGCUUGAGUGUCACAGCCAUAGAUGGAGACGAUUGUGUUCAUAGCUCAUCGCAGACCCACUCAGAGCAGAACCUGAACUUCCGGGGUCAAUGCUGGAUCAAUGUGCCCGGUAUGGCUGGGAAUAUAUACUCAACAGUAUGUGAUUUCUUCCCUGGAUGUGUACAUAUGUCUGUGUGGGGGGCGCGGGGUAUGUGUGUGAUGGGCAACACCCCAUGAUGUCUGGGUUUUCAAAUACUCCCAGGGUCUGGAUAUUGACUUUGGCCAACAUGGAUUAAAUGUGGGGCAAAUUCAGCUUAUGGACUCUAAAAUAGUGAGUCCUAUGUGGUCAGAAGCUCAGAAGAGCACUUGCAAAAACCCAGAUCAUGCCGG